rnacentral:rRNA from 1 species
GAUGAACGCUGGCGGCGUGCCUAAUACAUGCAAGUCGAGCGAACAUACGAUGCUCUUUCUCCUCUUACGUUGCCGGCGGAUGUGUGAGUAAUACGUCUCUACCCUAUCUAUUAGACUAGGAUCACUUCUCGAGCCCUGAUCUCAUAUCGGAUAUUAUAUUGAACCUCGUGGUUCAUUAGACUACGCCCUUUCUUCUGCCCCUUAUUCAUCUUUCCUCGCCGCAUUAGUUAGUUCGUAAGGUAACGACUUACCAAAGCUACGAUGCGUAGCCGACCUGAGAGGGUGAUCCGACACACUGGAACUGAGACAAGGUCCAGAAUCCUACGGGAGGCAGCAGGAGGGAAUAUUGGACAAUGGGCGAAAGCAUGAAAGAGCAAAGACGAGUGAGUGAUGAAGGUCUUCGGAUUGUAAAACUCUGUAAUUAGGGAAGAACGAAAGUGAAAGUAAAAAUGGACGUGUUGACGGUACCUAAUCAGAAAGCAACGGCUAACUACGUG